rnacentral:rRNA from 1 species
AGCGAACGCUGGCGGCAGGCCUAAAACAUGCAAGUCGAACGCCGUAGCAAUACGGAGUGGCAGACGGGUGAGUAACACGUGGGAACGUACCCUUUGGUUCGGAACAACACAGGGAAACUUGUGCUAAUACCGGAUAAGCCCUUACGGGGAAAGAUUUAUCGCCAGAGGAUCGGCCCGCGUCUGAUUAGCUUGUUGGUGAGGUAACGGCUCACCAAGGCUACGAUCAGUAGCUGGUCUGAGAGGAUGAUCAGCCACACUGGGACUGAGACACGGCCCAGACUCCUACGGGAGGCAGCAGUUAGGAAUCUUGGACAAUGGGCGCAAGCCUGAUCCAGCCAUGCCGCGUGAGUGAUGAAGGCCUUAGGGUUGUAAAGCUCUUUCAGCGGGGAAGAUAAUGACGGUACCCGCAGAAGAAGCCCCGGCUAACUUCGU